CAAACAUGAACUUAGGUUCGGGUAAUUCGGGAGUUUCUUCGACCCGGGAUAAGAAACCUGUGCAGUGUCAGGAUGACCCUUAUGGGUUCAAUGCUGAAGUCGUAGAUGGGAAUUUUUCCAAGCGUCUCCGUCAAUGCAUCCCAAUUGUGCCUGUCUACAGAACACAGAACAUACUGACUACAUACAUCAAUGAAAGAGUUGCUGCUAUAGCCGAGGAUGCCUCUGAAUCAAGACAUCAGAUGCAAGAGAUGUCAAAUGCAAACAACCGUGGACUACCUACCCACCGUGGACUACGUUCUGUCUGGCCCCCGAACACUGAUGUUGACAACAAUAGCAAUCGUGUAACCUUUACUGAUGGUGAAACUCCAGUAUCCAUGGCUGUGGGUGGAAUGAGAAACUACAAGCCUCCGCAGAUGGAGAGCCUCGGACUACUAGAGGAGGAAGUGUGGGACAAGCGACCAAGUGCAAAAAAAAAAGCAGGGAAAAGAGGAGGGAAAAAAUCUCGUCGAAAGCAUCGACAAUAGCA